UAGUCCUAGCCCUAAACGAUGGGCACUAGCUAGGGGAGGUUUCGGCCUUCCCUGGCCCAGCAAAUGCGAUAAGUGCCCCGCCUGGGGAGUACGGUCGCAAGGCUAAAACUCAAAGGAAUUGACGGGGGCUCACACAAGCGGUGGAGCAUGUUGUUUAAUUCGAUGCAACGCGAAGAACCUUACCUGGGCCGGAAUGUGCGGAUGAAAGCUGUGGAAGCAGUGGACUGCCUUCGGGUGAAACGUGCACCGGUGUUGCAUGGCUGUCGUCAGCUCGUGUCGUGAGAUGUCGGGUUAAGUCCCAUAACGAGCGAAACCCCUAUCGUUAGUUGCCAGCGCGUAAUGGCGGGAACUCUAGCGAGACUGCCGUUGUCAAGACGGAGGAAGGUGGGGACGACGUCAAGUCAUCAUGGCCCGUAUGCCCAGGGGCUACAAACGUGCUACAAUGGUCGGGACAGAGGGAAGCGAAGUCGCGAGGGCGGGAGCAAAUCU
rnacentral:rRNA from 1 species